rnacentral:rRNA from 1 species
GACGAAGGUGGCAACCGUUGUUCGGAAUCACUGGGCAUAAAGAGCACGUAGGCGGCCGCACAAGUCAGGUGUGAAAGCCCUCGGCCCAACCGAGGAAUUGCGCUUGAAACUAGGUGGCUUGAGGGCAGAAGGGGAGCGUGGAAUUCCUGGUGGAGCGGUGAAAUGCGUUGAUAUCAGGAGGAACACCGGCGGCGAAGGCGACGCUCUGGCCUGCUUCUGACGCUGAGGUGCGAAAGCCAGGGGAGCAAAC